AGCAAACAAGGGGGGGAGCAAGAGGAUGAACCCUAGUUCACCAAAUUCACAAGAAUUAAGUGAAAUCUUGAGAAAAAUUGAAGGUGUAAACAACGAAUUCUAGGCUCCUACAUCUGUUCUUCGAAUUGGCAUAAAGGAAGAAGAUUCAAGCUCUAAGAAGUCGGAAGGCCCUCAGGAUCGAGGUAAAACUCCACUUUAGGUGAUUUGGAGAUAUGGAGCGAGCACGUGUUCACGCCUUAUUAUACCAAGCGCUUCUGCUAGUUUAUAUGCACACUUUUUGGGUCCAUGUCUUGUUACUUUGUUUGAUCUUGUUAGAAGUCAUACACUUAAAAAAAACUUGUUGUCUUCGUUUUAGGAAGUUUAAAGUUUAAAUGGGUCGUAGAUUGUCGUUAGUUUAUUAUGUUAAAAACAGGGGGCACGUUCGUUGAACGAACGGGUCAUGCCCAAUUUUUGUAAAAAUAUUAAUU